rnacentral:rRNA from 1 species
UACGAAGGGGGCUAGCGUUGCUCGGAAUGACUGGGCGUAAAGAGCUCGUAGGCGGUCUGUCGCGUCGGCUGUGAAACCCCGAGGCUCAACCUCGGGCCUGCAGUCGAUACGGGCAGACUAGAGUGCGGUAGGGGAGACUGGAAUUCCUGGUGUAGCGGUGAAAUGCGCAGAUAUCAGGAGGAACACCGGUGGCGAAGGCGGGUCUCUGGGCCGUAACUGACGCUGAGGAGCGAAAGCGUGGGGAGCGAACAGG